UAAACGGUCCUUUUUAGGGCCACAUAUUAUGGCAACGGAGCUGUUU
rfam:Ixodes scapularis strain Wikel colony gcontig_1108379258890, whole genome shotgun sequence.